CUCGGCGUGGGCCUCGGCGAGCCCGAGCCUGCCGCGCGCGAGCUCGUCAGCGGCCUGAUACUCCAGGUUCCACGCCAGCGCGCCGAGU
rnacentral:tRNA from 1 species